GACGGAGGGGGCAAGCGUUGUCCGGAAUCACUGGGCGUAAAGCGUCCGUAGGCGGUUGGGUGCGUCGGUGCUGAAAGCGCCCCGCUUAACGGGGCGAGGCGUGCCGAUACGACCCGACUUGAGGCAGUCAGAGGGUGGCGGAAUUCCGGGUGUAGUGGUGAAAUGCGUAGAGAUCCGGAGGAACGCCGGUGGCGCAAGCGGCCACCUGGGCCUGACCUGACGCUGAGGGACGAAAGCGUGGGGAGCGAACCGG
rnacentral:misc_RNA from 1 species